UGGCUCUGGCAUCGAUGAAGAACGCAGCGAAAUGCGAUACGUAGUGUGAAUUGCAGAAUUCAGUGAAUCAUCGAAUCUUUGAACGCACAUUGCGCCCGUCGGUAUUCCGGCGGGCAUGCCUGUUCGAGCGUUAUCUCACCUAUCAAGCAGUGUGCUUGGUCUUGAGAGACCCUGCUGGUUAGCAGUGCUCUUAGAAGUUAUAAAUGGCUACGAUUGUGUCCUUGAGCGUUGCAAGGCUCCCACUCUAGGGCCUGUCGUAGCCUAGCUUUGGCGUACGCGCCUUGGAUCUAACCUCGAAUCAGGUAGGAAUACCCGCUGA
rnacentral:misc_RNA from 1 species